rnacentral:rRNA from 1 species
GACGAACGCUGGCGGCGUGCUUAACACAUGCAAGUCGAACGGUGACGAGGAGCUUGCUCCUCUGAUCAGUGGCGAACGGGUGAGUAACACGUGAGCAACCUGCCCCAGACUCUGGGAUAACAGUUGGAAACAGCUGCUAAUACCGGAUACGAGACGGAGAGGCAUCUCUACCGUCUGGAAAGUUUUUCGGUCUGGGAUGGACUCGCGGCCUAUCAGCUAGUUGGUGAGGUAAUGGCUCACCAAGGCGACGACGGGUAGCCGGCCUGAGAGGGCGACCGGCCACACUGGGACUGAGACACGGCCCAGACUCCUACGGGAGGCAGCAGUGGGGAAUAUUGCACAAUGGGCGAAAGCCUGAUGCAGCGACGCCGCGUGAGGGAUGACGGCCUGGUUGUAACGUACGUUCUACGUCAGGAAGAAGACGAAAGUAGACGGUACCGUACG